UUAAGCGACUAAGCGUACACGGUGGAUGCCCUGGCAGUCAGAGGCGAUGAAGGACGUGCUAAUCUGCGAUAAGCGUCGGUAAGGUGAUAUGAACCGUUAUAACCGGCGAUUUCCGAAUGGGGAAACCCAGUGUGUUUCGACACACUAUCAUUAACUGAAUCCAUAGGUUAAUGAGGCGAACCGGGGGAACUGAAACAUCUAAGUACCCCGAGGAAAAGAAAUCAACCGAGAUUCCCCCAGUAGCGGCGAGCGAACGGGGAGCAGCCCAGAGCCUGAAUCAGUGUGUGUGUUAGUGGAAGCGUCUGGAAAGGCGCGCGAUACAGGGUGACAGCCCCGUACACAAAAAUGCACAUGCUGUGAGCUCGAUGAGUAGGGCGGGACACGUGGUAUCCUGUCUGAAUAUGGGGGGACCAUCCUCCAAGGCUAAAUACUCCUGACUGACCGAUAGUGAACCAGUACCGUGAGGGAAAGGCGAAAAGAACCCCGGCGAGGGGAGUGAAAAAGAACCUGAAACCGUGUACGUACAAGCAGUGGGAGCACGCUUAGGCGUGUGACUGCGUACCUUUUGUAUAAUGGGUCAGCGACUUAUAUUCUGUAGCAAGGUUAACCGAAUAGGGGAGCCGAAGGGAAACCGAGUCUUAACUGGGCGUUAAGUUGCAGGGUAUAGACCCGAAACCCGGUGAUCUAGCCAUGGGCAGGUUGAAGGUUGGGUAACACUAACUGGAGGACCGAACCGACUAAUGUUGAAAAAUUAGCGGAUGACUUGUGGCUGGGGGUGAAAGGCCAAUCAAACCGGGAGAUAGCUGGUUCUCCCCGAAAGCUAUUUAGGUAGCGCCUCGUGAAUUCAUCUCCGGGGGUAGAGCACUGUUUCGGCAAGGGGGUCAUCCCGACUUACCAACCCGAUGCAAACUGCGAAUACCGGAGAAUGUUAUCACGGGAGACACACGGCGGGUGCUAACGUCCGUCGUGAAGAGGGAAACAACCCAGACCGCCAGCUAAGGUCCCAAAGUCAUGGUUAAGUGGGAAACGAUGUGGGAAGGCCCAGACAGCCAGGAUGUUGGCUUAGAAGCAGCCAUCAUUUAAAGAAAGCGUAAUAGCUCACUGGUCGAGUCGGCCUGCGCGGAAGAUGUAACGGGGCUAAACCAUGCACCGAAGCUGCGGCAGCGACGCUGAUGCGUUGUUGGGUAGGGGAGCGUUCUGUAAGCCUGCGAAGGUGUGCUGUGAGGCAUGCUGGAGGUAUCAGAAGUGCGAAUGCUGACAUAAGUAACGAUAAAGCGGGUGAAAAGCCCGCUCGCCGGAAGACCAAGGGUUCCUGUCCAACGUUAAUCGGGGCAGGGUGAGUCGACCCCUAAGGCGAGGCCGAAAGGCGUAGUCGAUGGGAAACAGGUUAAUAUUCCUGUACUUGGUGUUACUGCGAAGGGGGGACGGAGAAGGCUAUGUUGGCCGGGCGACGGUUGUCCCGGUUUAAGCGUGUAGGCUGGUUUUCCAGGCAAAUCCGGAAAAUCAAGGCUGAGGCGUGAUGACGAGGCACUACGGUGCUGAAGCAACAAAUGCCCUGCUUCCAGGAAAAGCCUCUAAGCAUCAGGUAACAUCAAAUCGUACCCCAAACCGACACAGGUGGUCAGGUAGAGAAUACCAAGGCGCUUGAGAGAACUCGGGUGAAGGAACUAGGCAAAAUGGUGCCGUAACUUCGGGAGAAGGCACGCUGAUAUGUAGGUGAAGUCCCUUGCGGAUGGAGCUGAAAUCAGUCGAAGAUACCAGCUGGCUGCAACUGUUUAUUAAAAACACAGCACUGUGCAAACACGAAAGUGGACGUAUACGGUGUGACGCCUGCCCGGUGCCGGAAGGUUAAUUGAUGGGGUCAGCGCAAGCGAAGCUCUUGAUCGAAGCCCCGGUAAACGGCGGCCGUAACUAUAACGGUCCUAAGGUAGCGAAAUUCCUUGUCGGGUAAGUUCCGACCUGCACGAAUGGCGUAAUGAUGGCCAGGCUGUCUCCACCCGAGACUCAGUGAAAUUGAACUCGCUGUGAAGAUGCAGUGUACCCGCGGCAAGACGGAAAGACCCCGUGAACCUUUACUAUAGCUUGACACUGAACAUUGAGCCUUGAUGUGUAGGAUAGGUGGGAGGCUUGGAAGUGUGGACGCCAGUCUGCAUGGAGCCGACCUUGAAAUACCACCCUUUAAUGUUUGAUGUUCUAACGUUGACCCGUAAUCCGGGUUGCGGACAGUGUCUGGUGGGUAGUUUGACUGGGGCGGUCUCCUCCUAAAGAGUAACGGAGGAGCACGAAGGUUGGCUAAUCCUGGUCGGACAUCAGGAGGUUAGUGCAAUGGCAUAAGCCAGCUUGACUGCGAGCGUGACGGCGCGAGCAGGUGCGAAAGCAGGUCAUAGUGAUCCGGUGGUUCUGAAUGGAAGGGCCAUCGCUCAACGGAUAAAAGGUACUCCGGGGAUAACAGGCUGAUA
rnacentral:rRNA from 1 species